AAUAUGUAUUUGUUGUUUCUGUCUUACAAACGCACAAUAUAGUUAGAACAUGCUUACGCAGGCUACACAGAACUCGUUUAGUUUUGGUUUGAGAGCAUAACCGUCUAUUAUAAAAUUAAAGGAGAACAAUAUUCCAGAGGACAUUACGUUGCUUUUUUUCCAUUUUCUCCAAAUAUACAGUUAAUGUACUAUUUAUAAAUAAUGACGUUUUUAAUAUUUUAUAAUUCACUAAACU